UACAGAGGUGGCAAGCGUUGUUCGGAUUUACUGGGCGUAAAGCGCACGUAGGCGGAUCGUUAAGUCGGGGGUGAAAUCCUGGAGCUCAACUCCAGAACUGCCUUCGAUACUGGCGAUCUUGAGUCCGGAAGAGGUGAGUGGAACUCCUAGUGUAGAGGUGGAAUUCGUAGAUAUUAGGAAGAACACCAGUGGCGAAGGCGGCUCACUGGUCCGGUAUGACGCUGAGGUGCGAAAGCGUGGGGAGCAAACAGGG
rnacentral:rRNA from 1 species